rnacentral:rRNA from 1 species
AUACGGAGGGGGCAAGCGUUGUUCGGAAUUAUUGGGCGUAAAGGGCACGUAGGCGGUCAAGUAAGUUGGUGGUGAAAGCCCUCGGCUCAACCGAGGAAUUGCCCCCAAAACUGCUUGACUUGAGUCCCGGAGAGGGUGGCGGAAUUCCCAGUGUAGCGGUGAAAUGCGUAGAUAUUAGGAGGAACACCAGUGGCGAAGGCGGUCACCUGGACGGGUACUGACGCUGAGGUGCGAAAGCGUGGGGAGCAAACAGGAUUAGAAACCCCGGUAGUCC